rnacentral:rRNA from 1 species
CCUGACGCAGCGACGCCGCGUGAGUGAAGAAGGUCUUCGGGUCGUAAAGCUCUGUCAGUAGGGAAGAAAUGCCAUUGGAUUAAUACCCCAGUGGUUUGACGGUACCUACAAAGGAAGCACCGGCUAAAUCCGUGCCAGCAGCCGCGGUAAUACGGAUGGUGCGAGCGUUGUUCGGAAUCACUGGGCGUAAAGGGCGCGUAGGCGGCAUUGUAAGUCAGAUGUGAAAGUCCGGGGCUCAACCCCGGAAGUGCAUCUGAAACUGCAAAGCUAGAGUAUUGGAGAGGAAAGUGGAAUUCCUGGUGUAGAGGUGAAAUUCGUAGAUAUCAGGAGGAAUACCGGAGGCGAAGGCGACUUUCUGGACAAAUACUGACGCUGAGGCGCGAAAGCGUGGGGAGCAAACAGGAUUAGAUACCCUGGUAGUCCACAGCUGUGAACGAUGAUAACUAGGUAUAGGGGGUAUUUUGACCCCUCCUGUGCCGGAGCUAACGCAUUAAGUUACCCGCCUGGGGAGUACGGUCGCAAGAUUAAAACUCAAAGGAAUUGACGGGG